GACGAACGCUGGCGGCGUGCUUAACACACGUAAGUCGAGCGAUGAAGUUCCUUCGGGAAUGGAUUAGCGGCGGACGGGUGAGUAACACGUGGGUAACCUGCCUCAUAGAGGGGAAUAGCCUUCCGAAAGGAAGAUUAAUACCGCAUAAGAUUGUAGUGCCGCAUGGCAUAGCAAUUAAAGGAGUAAUCCGCUAUGAGAUGGACCCGCGUCGCAUUAGCUAGUUGGUGAGGUAACGGCUCACCAAGGCGACGAUGCGUAGCCGACCUGAGAGGGUGAUCGGCCACAUUGGGACUGAGACACGGCCCAGACUCCUACGGGAGGCAGCAGUGGGGAAUAUUGCACAAUGGGGGAAACCCUGAUGCAGCAACGCCGCGUGAGUGAUGAAGGUCUUCGGAUUGUAAAACUCUGUCUUCAGGGACGAUAAUGACGGUACCUGAGGAGGAAGCCACGGCUAACUACGUGCCAGCCGCCGCAGUAAGAC
rnacentral:rRNA from 1 species